UUGUAGUGAGGUAAGUUUAUAAAUUACCUUACAUAUAUGUUAAACCUACAUAUACAGAAACCUAAUCCAUAUGUUCUUUCCUUUUGUAGCAAUAGUUCGUGCUUCAUUUCAAAGAUCAAGCAGUUACACGAUUUGUUGAGCACCAAAUGCUUAGCACGUGGAAAGAGUUUAGGUAAGAAAACAACUUAGGCUUUUCAAGAAGUUCAGCAACCCUAGAGAAGCACAUGCCUACCCACCGUACAGAUUGGUGAAUCGUGUAGAAGAUUGGCACUUCUUCUGCGAUCACUACCUGAGUCAACAAUUUUAGAAGCAAUCAAAACCAACAAGGCUGUUGAGUGAAACAACUUUACAACCACAGUAGCGAGUCCAAGUCGUUCCUACAAUGACAACAUGAGCUCACUAAACAACGAGGUCAUCCAGUGGACCGUGUGAAGUUGUUUAGAGAAACACAUGCCAAUAGGAGUGGCUAAUUCGUUUCACAGGUAGCCGCGGAUACGUAUAAGUAAAUGAUGAAACUCCAGUCCCAACCCCUCUUUGGAGACGAGAUGUAACACCCCAAAAUAUAAAGGUAA